rnacentral:rRNA from 1 species
AUUGAACGCUGGCGGCAGGCCUAACACAUGCAAGUCGAGCGAGCGGCGGACGGGUGAGUAAUGUCUGGGAAACUGCCUGAUGGAGGGGGAUAACUACUGGAAACGGUAGCUAAUACCGCAUACCAUCAGAUGUGCCCAGAUGGGAUUAGCUAGUAGGUGGGGUAACGGCUCACCUAGUCGACGAUCCCUAGCUGGUCUGGGAGGAUGACCAGCCAACCUGGACCGGAGCCACGGUCCAGACUCAUACGGGAGGCAGCAGUGGGGAAUAUUGCACAAUGGGCGCAAGCCGGAUGCAGCCAUGCCGCGUGUGUGAAGAAGGCCUGCGGGUUGUAAAGGACUUUCAGCGGGGAGGCGUUACCCGCAGAAUAAGGACCGGCUAACUCCGUGCCAGCAGCCGCGGUAAUUC